UCAAGUGACUAAGUGCAUGUGGUGGAUGCCUUGGCGAUUACAGGCGAUGAAGGACGUAGUAGCCUGCGAUAAGCUGCGGGGAGCUGGCAAACAAGCUUUGAUCCGCAGAUUUCCGAAUGGGGAAACCCACUCCGCAAGGAGUAUCCCACGCUGAAUACAUAGGCGUGUGGAGGCGAACGCAGUGAACUGAAACAUCUAAGUAGCUGCAGGAAAAGAAAUCAACCGAGAUUCCGAAAGUAGUGGCGAGCGAAAUCGGAGCAGCCGGUGCGUGAUAGUCGAUAGGUUAACAGAACGGCAUGGAAAGGCCGGCCAUAGCGGGUGAUAGCCCCGUAUGUGAAAACCCUUCGGUGGUACUGAGCGCACGACAAGUAGGGCGGGACACGUGAAAUCCUGUCUGAAGAUGGGGGGACCAUCCUCCAAGGCUAAAUACUCGUAAUCGACCGAUAGUGAACAAGUACCGUGAGGGAAAGGCGAAAAGAACCCCGGGAGGGGAGUGAAAUAGAUCCUGAAACCGCAUGCAUACAAACAGUCGGAGCCUGUAACAGGGUGACGGCGUACCUUUUGUAUAAUGGGUCAGCGACUUACGUUUAGUGGCAAGCUUAACCGUGUAGGGAAGGCGUAGGGAAACCGAGUCCGAACAGGGCGAUUGAGUCGCUAGGCGUAGACCCGAAACCGGAUGAUCUACUCAUGGCCAGGAUGAAGGUGCGGUAACACGUACUGGAGGUCCGAACCGACUACUGUUGCAAAAGUAGCGGAUGAGCUGUGGGUAGGGGUGAAAGGCUAAACAAAUCCGGAAAUAGCUGGUUCUCCCCGAAAACUAUUUAGGUAGUGCGUCAUGUAUUGCUCCGGGGGGUAGAGCACUGUAAUGGUUGGGCGGGUCAUGACGACUUAGCUCGCCAUAGCAAACUCCGAAUACCCGGAAGUAUGAGCAUGGCAGACAGUCCUCGGGUGCUAACGUCCGAGGUCGAGAGGGAAACAACCCAGACCGCCAGCUAAGGUCCCAAAUUACCGCUAAGUGGGAAACGAAGUGGGAAGGCUAAAACAGUCAGGAGGUUGGCUUAGAAGCAGCCAUCCUUUAAAGAAAGCGUAAUAGCUCACUGAUCGAGUCGUCCUGCGCGGAAGAUGUAACGGGGCUAAGCGGUAAACCGAAGCUGCGGAUGCACAGUAAUGUGCGUGGUAGGGGAGCGUUCUGUAAGUCUGCGAAGGUGAGUCGUAAGGCUUGCUGGAGAUAUCAGAAGUGCGAAUGCUGACAUGAGUAGCGUUAAAGCAGGUGAAAGGCCUGCUCGCCGAAAGCGCAAGGUUUCCUACGCAACGUUCAUCGGCGUAGGGUGAGUCGGCCCCUAAGGUGAGGGCGAAAGCCGUAGCUGAUGGGAAGCUGGUUAAUAUUCCAGCACCGUCUCUGAAUGCGAUGGGGGGACGGAUCGUGGAAAGUUGUCCGGGUGUUGGAAGUCCCGGUUCUUGGUCUGUAGGUGUCCGGUAGGCAAAUCCGCCGGGCGUAUGCCGAGGGAUUGAGACGAGCGAGCUUGCUCGCGAAGCAACUGGAAGGGGUCCCAGGAAAAGCCUCUAAGCUUCAGUUCAGAGCGACCGUACCGCAAACCGACACUGGUGCGCGAGAUGAGUAUUCUCAGGCGCUUGAGAGAACUCGGGAGAAGGAACUCGGCAAAUUGACACCGUAACUUCGGAAGAAGGUGUGCCUUUGUAGUUUGAGUGUGAACAACACAAGGACGAAGAGGUUGCAAAAAAUCGGUGGCUGCGACUGUUUACCAAAAACACAGCACUCUGCAAACACGAAAGUGGACGUAUAGGGUGUGACGCCUGCCCGGUGCCGGAAGGUUAAAUGAUGGGGUGCAAGCUCUUGAUUGAAGCCCCGGUAAACGGCGGCCGUAACUAUAACGGUCCUAAGGUAGCGAAAUUCCUUGUCGGGUAAGUUCCGACCU
rnacentral:rRNA from 1 species